CCGCCCGGCGCGGGAGCGGAGCAGAGCGGGCCGCCGAGUCCCGAGCGGCCGGCGGCCGGGGCUCCCCGCCCCUCCCUGCUCUCCGGCGGCGGCGGCGGCGGCGGCGGCGGGCGGAGUGAGCGGCGGAGCCUGGAAUAUGGUCGGGGAAAUGGAAACGAAGGAGAAGCCGAAGCCCACCCCGGAUUACCUGAUGCAGCUGAUGAACGACAAGAAGCUCAUGAGCAGCCUGCCCAACUUCUGCGGGAUCUUCAACCACCUCGAGCGGCUGCUGGACGAAGAAAUUAGCAGAGUACGGAAAGACAUGUACAAUGACACAUUAAAUGGCAGUACAGAGAAAAGGAGUGCAGAGUUGCCUGAUGCUGUGGGACCUAUUGUUCAGUUACAAGAGAAACUUUAUGUGCCUGUAAAAGAAUAUCCAGAUUUUAAUUUUGUUGGGAGAAUCCUUGGACCUAGAGGACUUACUGCUAAACAGCUUGAAGCAGAAACAGGAUGUAAAAUAAUGGUCCGAGGCAAAGGCUCAAUGAGGGAUAAAAAGAAGGAGGAGCAAAAUAGAGGCAAGCCUAAUUGGGAGCAUCUCAAUGAAGAUUUACAUGUACUGAUCACUGUGGAAGACGCUCAAAACAGAGCAGAAAUAAAACUGAAGAGAGCCGUUGAGGAAGUGAAGAAAUUACUGGUACCUGCAGCGGAGGGAGAAGACAGCCUGAAGAAGAUGCAGCUGAUGGAGCUUGCGAUACUGAAUGGCACCUACAGAGAUGCCAACAUUAAAUCACCAGCCCUUGCCUUUUCUCUUGCAGCAACUGCCCAGGCUGCUCCAAGGAUUAUUACCGGGCCUGCGCCUGUUCUCCCACCAGCUGCCCUGCGUACUCCUACGCCAGCUGGCCCUACCAUAAUGCCUUUGAUCAGACAAAUACAGACCGCCGUCAUGCCGAACGGAACUCCUCACCCAACUGCUGCAAUAGUUCCUCCAGGGCCCGAAGCUGGUUUGAUUUACACACCCUAUGAGUACCCCUACACGUUGGCACCAGCUACAUCAAUCCUUGAGUAUCCUAUUGAACCUAGUGGUGUAUUAGGUAUGGCUUUCCCAACGAAAGGCUAAGAAUUCAAGAACGGUCUUAACUGAACCCUCAUCAGAUCUGAAUUUAACAAAUGCUUAGUCUCAGCAGCCUUUGGGGGUAGGGGUGGGAGGGAAGCUUAGCCUAGCAGUCAGUGACUUACUUGCACUUUUUGCACACUGAUCAAAGUAAAAGUAUGUCAGUAAUUUGGUUUAGUCUGUAAUCUUAUGAAGUAACGGUAACUUACAGAGUGUGUAGUAGUAUACUGACUGCUAAGUGUACUAUACUGUUUGCUUUACUAAUCACCUAAUUCAUUGCAGUUCAUACUUAUUGACGCAAAGUUUAAAACCACAAUCUGUAGGCUUUAAGAAUUGCUUUUAAACCUUUUUAAGUGAUAAACUCUGGAAGUGGUCUUAAGGUUAGCAUAUAAUUGUCAGUAUUAAAUAUGGUAUUAUUUAAGUAGUCCUGCUGCAAGAAAGGCACUUCAGUGAAUAUGUGACUAGUAAAGCUUAAAUAUGUUUGGAUCUAAUAGAGUUCUUAAAAUACUGUAAGUUGGGAUUGUAAAUGAAUGGAUAAAUAGGUUAAGGCCAAGAUGUUUGAAAUGAAUGCAAUAUUAAUAGACACAUAUAUCACAACAUAUUAUGGUUAAUUUUAAAACUACUGUGCCUUAACGUGUUUCUUAUGAUGAAACUUUUGUAGUAAAUGAACAUUUGUAAUCCAUUUGAUAAACCUGCUGUUAAUGUUUGUUUUCUUUUCCCUUGUGAAUAUUUUCUAACCUUGUCUUGGUAAUUGCAAUUUAACUAGGUGCGGUGGCUACUAAAGUUCGAAGGCACGAUAUGCGUGUCCAUCCUUACCAAAGGAUUGUGACCGCAGACCGAGCCGCCACCGGCAACUAACCUAUGACCUUCUGACCUCUGAACUCUUCACCCAAUGAUGACCUGACCAUGCCUGCCUGCUGAUCAGUUAACUGGUAAUCGCCUUUGCUUGCCUGUCGUCAGUGCAGCGAGCUGAGGCACUUGUCCGUUCGUUCGUCUUACCAUCUAACCAAACAAAAGACAAAGAAAUUGUCCUCCAACUCAGCUUUUGUUUUUUGGUUUUUUGUUCUGUUUGGGUGAAAGUGGUUCUAGAACCUGCACUGAAUAGUAGUAAAGCAAUAAGGCCCAAUUCAUCCCACAGCACUGAUCAUCUUGUAAUGUCCCACCCUAAGCGAACGGUAAGAAGGCCUCAUUUCAGAAGGGAACACAGAUGGCCCUUAAGUACUCAGUGACAGAGGCAGUUACUGUGAGAAACUUCUAGGAAUCUCUUCUCAUAGCGAGUCAAGCUCUCUGAAUGUACUGUGUGAUGAUGCAUCAUGCAUGAACCUUUGGUCAGGGAUGUCAUUGGUGAAGUGAUUUCAAAAGUAUUCAAAAUUGGAUAUGCUGUUUAGUCACUACAGUGCCCUCAAAGGGCACAAGUUGCAGCCUUUUUUAUAUUGCCUGCCAAAAUUUGAUUAGAAGUGUGCCAUGAGAGAAAGCUUAACAAGGAAUUUUGAAAAGUAAUGCAAAGAACAAACUGCAACACUAUUUUUAAAGGUAAAUAUCUGAGUUAAAAUUACUGAACCUUUAUUUUACACCUCCUUAAAAAAAUAUAUGAAAACAAGGUACAUGCAUUAUGUGUCACAUUACUGGGCAAACUGUUCAAAUAUUUUUUUUAAACCUCCCUGUAUAGAAAAAAAUCAUUAAGGAUGUAAAAGCCAUGCUUGCCUAUUUGCUGUAUACAUGUAAUGAAAUUGUAGAUAAAGUGUAGUGCAUUGAAACAAAUGAACAAAAAGUAGAUACUUUUACUAUACAAGGGUGCUGGUGCAGAAAAAAAUAUAUAUAUUUUUGGAAAUGUAGCAUUUUAUACUUUCAAGUGUUAUAAAAAAAAGAAAAAGAACAAAGAAACCCUUUAUUUCAUUAAAUGAUUUUUUCUGGUGGUUGUCAAGAAACAAAAGACCAAAAGAGCCUUUUUGUCUUUCUUUUUUAUUUUUUAAGUAUUGGAAUAAGUCUAAAGAAAAGAAAGUGCCUUAUUUUCCUUCAUAGUCAUUUAGUCAAGUGUCUCGUAAGAUCAGCUCCUCCCUCAGAAUACAAGUUAAUGCAUGUUACUCCAUCGCCCAGUAUGUGAAAGAAGAUAGGAGGGGAGACAAAUGAGUUGAUGGUUUGAAUUAUAUGAUUUUUGCCACAUUAUCUUGAUACAAAUUUGCCAAAUUUGAUACUGUGAAAAAAGUUUGAUAACUUUUCUAAUGCCUGACAAGUUUUAAAACAUCUUUCUUUUCAAGUCAUAAUUGAACGCUUUGGUUAUUGUGCUAUUUAAUAUUAGCCCAAAGGAUUCUGAAAUGAAAAUUACGUGUGAUCUGAAUGAACAUCACUUUACAGACAAAAUUAGAGCUUUGUUUUAUUCGGAGAAGGGAUCCAAGGGUGUUAGGGUUUUUUUUAAAUUAUUAAUUGGAGAUAAUAGUAUACUUAGCAAACUUAUUCACAAAAGUGAAACUUUGUCAUUUUCAUUCUAGAAAACAGUGUUUUUAAAUGACCCAAACUUAAUCAGACUUUCUGUCAUUAUCCAGAUCACUUGGGUAAUCCAUCUCUGCUGGUUUUAGUAACUGAAGCUGCCCCACUCCCCCAAAACCACCCUCCCACAUACUUUUUCUUUAACUUGAAAAGAAUGUGAAAAACAAGCAUCAUUAUGCAUACUCAACUACAUGUAAGUUGUAAGCUUCCAGUUUCUCAUGAAGUUCAGUUUUAUAGUUGAAGCAGUUUGUGCACAGAGCCUACAUCUAAACACAUAAGUAGGUAAUCAUUAACUGCUCAGUACCAGAUGUGGCAAAUAUCAAGUGGCAGUGGGUCCCCAGCUCAUCAACUCGCUCCCUCUGACACCUUCACAGCUUCACAGUCAGAGGUCAGCAGGAAGCUCAGGGAGCACCUGCAUGGUGACUUCCAUCAUCUUGUCUCACUUGGAAAUGUUUUCAGUUUAUUUACUAUGCAAUAGACAUUCAUUGUUUUAUAUUCAGCUAGCUCUGGUUUAAUGUGCCACUGCUGUGUCUUUCUGUUACACAUACAGUUGUUUUGAUUUACUUACAAUAUAUGCUGUGCCAUUUUGAUUUUAAUUUUGUUUGGUUGGUUGAAUAAAUUUGCGACACUCAAACCCUUGAGGUGAUAGUGUAAGUUUUAAAAUGAUACCAGUAUUUGAUCCAGUUUCAUCUCAACUAUGUUAUACCUGGACAUUUUAGAUGUUUAUCAAAGGUCUUUUAUGGGGAAGUAAAUGUAUGAAAUAAAUGUGUGACAUUUAUGAGUAAUGUUAGCUCUGAACAAACUUUUGAAAACUUAGUUGACAAAAUUUUGGAUCAACUGAAAAAAAGCAUGACUUUUGAAAUUUCUGAAUGCCUUGGUUCGCAGUAUUAUCAUUCUUUACUGAAUUUAUUUCUUAUUAAAAUACGUAGUUUUUAAGACUUUUUUUCUGACAGUAUUAUGUAAUUUUUUUAGCGUGGGUAGAUGGGAGUGUCACUUGUAUGUUACCGUACAGCUGACAUGUAUUUUUGUCUAUUCUUUAUUAUCUUAGUAGUUUCAUGCUGUGUAUGUACCAUAACCAACCUAUUGCCUAUGAGAAACAUGUAAGAUAAUGUAUUUACAGCCAUUGUUACAAGUUUAUAAUGUAUUUUUCUAUCUUGUUUUAUAUGUAUGUUAUAUAACAUUCAAAAAGAAUUUUUUUCUUGAUUGAGAAAAGGAUACAAAAUGCAAAAUCCACAAUUUUGAUAACCGAAAAUUGCCAAUUGUUUUGCAGUACUUUAUUAUAUUGGGUGUCUUGUCUUUCUUGGGCUUUUAGUUAGCUAAUGAAUGAAUACAUUAGACACUUUUGGGUUUUAGUUGGGAUUUUACAUAGCUUGCAUUUUAAUUCUUUGGUUCUUUGCUGUUUCUAUUAACCCAUAGCAUUAUUUUAAUAAAUGUUAUAAUACCAACCUACUAA